rnacentral:sRNA from 1 species
AUUGUACAGUUUUGUUUGGAAAAAAGGUCAACGGAACAAUUUUAAGUACACUGUGUAUACAUCAGUCGAAUAUUAAAUUCACCGUUGUACAGUUAAAAUGUUCAAAUAGAACAAUUUCUCCGAUAACCAUGUGUGUACUUUAGAAAUUCAUUUAAGCUUCAAGUAUUUAGAAAAUAAGCCAUAUGGUCAACUUUCAACGUUAUUCAAUAUUUGUGGUGGUUGCUUAUUGCACUUUUCAUAUGUAUAACCUUUUUAGAAUUUUAAAUGGCAUGCAUUUUUUAAAUGUUGUUGUAAAGCAAUGUUUUACUAAAGUCACAAAUACAAG